rnacentral:rRNA from 1 species
GAUGAACGCUGGCGGCGUGCCUAAUACAUGCAAGUCGAGCGAACAGACGAGAGUGCUUGCACUCUCUGACGUUAGCGGCGGACGGGUGAGUAACACGUGGGUAACCUAUCUAUAAGACUGGGAUAACUUCGGGAAACCGGAGCUAAUACCGGAUAAUAUUUAGCUUCGCAUGACGCAAUAGUGAAAGACGGUUCUGCUGUCACUUAUAGGUGGACCCGCGGUGUAUUAGCUAGUUGGUGAGGUAACGGCUCACCAAGGCAACGAUACAUAGCCGACCUGAGAGGGUGAUCGGCCACACUGGAACUGAGACACGGCCCAGACUCCUACGGGAGGCAGCAGUAGGGAAUCUUCCGCAAUGGACGAAAGUCUGACGGAGCAAUGCCGCGUGAGUGAAGAAGGUUUUCGGAUCGUAAAACUCUGUUGUAAGGGAAGAACAAGUACGUUAGUAACUGAACGUACCUUGACGGUACCUUACCAGAAAGCCACGGCUAACUACGUG